rnacentral:rRNA from 1 species
ACGGCUCAGUAACACGUAGUCAACAUGCCCAGAGGACGUGGAUAACCUCGGGAAACUGAGGACAAACCGCGAUAGGCCAUGAUUUCUGGAAUGAUUCAUGGCCGAAAUCUAUAUGGCCUUUGGGUUGGACUGCGGCCGAUCAGGCUGUUGGUGAGGUAAUGGCCCACCAAACCUGUUACCGGUACGGGCUCUGAGAGGAGGAGCCCGGAGAUGGGCACUGAGACAAGGGCCCAGGCCCUAUGGGGCGCAGCAGGCGCGAAACCUCUGCAAUAGGCGAAAGCUUGACAGGGUUACUCUGAGUGGUUUCCGCUAAGGAGAUCUUUUGACACCUCUAAAAAUGGUGUAGAAUAAGGGGUGGGCAAGUCUGGUGUCAGCCGCCGCGGUAAUACCAGCACCCCGAGUGGUCGGGACGAUUAUUGGGCCUAAAGCAUCCGUAGCCGGUCCUACAAGUCUUCCGUUAAAUCCACCUGCUCAACAGAUGGGCUGCGGAAGAUACUAUAGGGCUAGGAGGCGGGAGAGGCAAGCGGUACUCAGUGGGUAGGGGUAAAAUCCUCUGAUCCAUUGAAGACCACCAGUGGCGAAGGCGGCUUGCCAGAACGCGCUCGACGGUGAGGGACGAAAGCUGGGGGAGCAAACCGGAUUAGAUACCCGGGUAGUCCCAGCUGUAAACGAUGCAGACUCGGUGAUGGGUUGGCCUUGUGCCAACCCAGUGCCGCAGGGAAGCCGUUAAGUCUGCCGCCUGGGGAGUACGGUCGCAAGACUGAAACUUAAAGGAAUUGGCGGGGGAGCAC